rnacentral:rRNA from 1 species
GUUGUAUGGUUAAGUAAUUAAGCGUAGACGGUGGAUGCCUUGGCAGUCAGAGGCGAUGAAGGACGUACUAACCUGCGAAAAGCGAUGGUGAGCUGGUAAGAAGCAUUUGAGCCAUCGAUGUCCGAAUGGGGAAACCCACCUGCAUAAGCAGGUAUCUUAGCGUGAAUACAUAGCGUUAAGAGGCGAACUCGGGGAACUGAAACAUCUAAGUACCNAUUAAGCGUAGACGGUGGAUGCCUUGGCAGUCAGAGGCGAUGAAGGACGUACUAACCUGCGAAAAGCGAUGGUGAGCUGGUAAGAAGCAUUUGAGCCAUCGAUGUCCGAAUGGGGAAACCCACCUGCAUAAGCAGGUAUCUUAGCGUGAAUACAUAGCGUUAAGAGGCGAACUCGGGGAACUGAAACAUCUAAGUACCCGAAGGAAAAGAAAUCAAUUGAGAUUCCGGCAGUAGCGGCGAGCGACCCCGGAUUAGCCCUUAAGCAGACUUGGCGUUAGGUGAACAGGUUGGAAAACCUGGCAAUAAAGGGUGAUAGCCCCGUAACCGACGGCGCCAUAUUUGUGAAAACGAGUAGGACGGGACACGUGAUAUCUUGUCUGAAUAUGGGGGGACCAUCCUCCAAGGCUAAAUACUCCUGACUGACCGAUAGUGAACCAGUACCGUGAGGGAAAGGCGAAAAGAACCCCUGUGAGGGGAGUGAAAUAGAACCUGAAACCGUCUACGUACAAGCAGUG